UACGGGGGGAGCAAGCGUUGUUCGGAUUUACUGGGCGUAAAGGGCGCGUAGGCGGCCAGCACAAGUCAGUUGUGAAAUCUCCGAGCUUAACUCGGAAAGGUCAACUGAUACUGUGCGGCUAGAGUGCGGAAGGGGCAACUGGAAUUCUCGGUGUAGCGGUGAAAUGCGUAGAUAUCGAGAGGAACACCUGCGGCGAAGGCGGGUUGCUGGGCUGACACUGACGCUGAACUGCGAAAGCUAGGGGAGCGAACGGG
rnacentral:rRNA from 1 species